UACGGAGGAUUCGAGCGUUAUCCGGAUUUAUUGGGUUUAAAGGGUGCGUAGGCGGUCGGAUAAGUUAGAGGUGAAAUCCCGGGGCUCAACUUCGGAAUUGCCUCUGUUACUGUUCGGCUAGAGAGUAGUUGCGGUAGGCGGAAUGUAUGGUGUAGCGGUGAAAUGCUUAGAGAUCAUACAGAACACCGAUUGCGAAGGCAGCCUACCAAGCUACUUCCGACGUUGAGGCACGAAAGCGUGGGUAGCAAACAGG
rnacentral:rRNA from 1 species